UGGAGUCUCUGUCAUGGUCAUGUAUGAACCCGUACCUGCACAGUUGCUGAGAGCAAAGCCCAGUCUCCGCUGGGCGCGGUCGAACACCACGAAGAAGCCUUCCAUAACAGUGGCGCCGAUCACGAGGCCGUUAGUUGAAGAUGACACUCCGAACCGGAAGCAGUCCAGUGUGCCGUCCAAAUCGGUGACAGGUUGGAUGUAAAGCUGGAAAAUGAACAGGGAGGAAUAACGACCGGUCAGUGUUUUUAUUUCUCUAAAAUUGACAGAGAAGCUCUGGAGAAAGGGCGACUGGUGUCUGUUUGUGUUUCCUCCAGGUACCUGAGGCAGAAUGGUGAUACGGAACGUCUGGCUGGUGUUUGUGGCUCUCAGAUAGAUGGACAGCUUGGGGAAGAAUCUCCAGGGGGUCUCCCCCUUCAACCAGCAUGCAAGCUUGGUGCCCUCCCAGAACCCUGAAGAAAAAUCCUGGAUCUGAACCACAGAGAAUCGAUGAACAAACAGAGACAGAGGGAGACAGGAAGGAAUAGGACAAGAGACAGAAGCAUGGGAUAGGCCAGCCCCAAGAUGCCCUGCCAGUUGACCCCAGGAAGAAAGAAGCCCUCAGAUGACAGGAUGGCGGCAAUGUUGAUGAUGAUGGUCCCGUUUGGCCCUUUGGGGAUGGAGACCCGGUCAAUGCCCAGUUCACCUUCCCAGUUACCCUGGGUGUACCUGACGGCAACCAUCCGACCGACUGACUCAUAGGUGGGUACGGGAAGCGACUGUUGGCCUGCCUGGAGGAGAUGGGCUUAUCACCUCCUCCUCGUUGGACUGGCCCUGGUCCCAUCUGCUGUGACUGUGCCAUCUCAAACCCCUCUGGCACAUGGCACCGGUCCAGCCACACAAGACCUGGACCAGCCAAACAGGCGGCAGAUCGGAAA